GCGAGCGAGCUUCUAGUAGUCACCGAGGCGAGAACGCUGAAGGACGGGCUCUUCCUCCUUCUGGUUGUCAGGAAAAAGGACCUGAGCUUCAAGGAAUCUAGAGCCAGACUGAUUCAGUCAUCAGUUGAGGUUUCCUUUUGAAUAGAAGACAGUAUUGAUGCCAUUCAUAUAAGAAACGUGGACUUUCAUCAGAAAUAAAGAGACGAUAAUAGAAUCCACAUUGUGAACAGUAAGUUGGUUCUCAAUGCAUUCUAAAAUUCAACACUGCUUGACGUUUGCUUCUGUGUU